UAAGUUAUUCAAUUAGAAAUUGUACUUAUAUUUAUUUUUUGUGACAUGGCCUUUUUCCUGUCCCUGAAAAGGAUUGAUCCACCUGCACAACUGUCCCAAGGAGCCCAUGGUCCCCAUCUAUGUAAUUGUGGGAUCUGCAUUCUUCCUGGUCUUAACGCUAUUUGUGUUGUGUGGGCAUGGUACAUUGUGCUUCGAAGCCAGUAUUUCGAUCCUCGUCUUUCUCUUCUGCUGGCUGAUUGCAGGUAGUGUGUUUGUCUACAGAGCAUUUCAACCCAACUAUGAGUCCAGACAAUCUCCGGAAUAUUGUGAGAAGAUUCUCUAUCAGGCUGCAUUCUGGUGUACCAACCUGGCAUGGGUGUGCAUAGUGAUUUUUGGGAUUUGUGGGUUGUGCUUUCUCUUAUGCACUAUAUCCUGUAACAAAAACAGGGAAGGUGACAGUGAAAUGGGAGAGAAUCCUCCCCCUCAAGAUUAGAAUUCACUUCAUCAUAAAGUUUCCCUAGUACACUCAAAAUGUAGUUUUUUAACAUUUCAGAACAGAAACACAAUGGUAAAGCUUUGUCUUAAAACCACAGAUUUAGAGCCGCAGGGCUCCACAGAGCUGCCACUGCACUGUAGCUUUGACAGUGAUGCUGAUCGAGCAGCCCAGCAUGCUUGUGUUGUUUCAACACCAUUAUCAGAACGGGGAGCAGGAAACGUAGUGGAUCACCCAUUUGGACACCACAGUGACUCAGCUCCUCUGACCCAUUAAGGCUACCCCUCACCCUUCUCCCUAAAACAGAAACAACCUCUCCUGUGAGCGCAGCGUGACGUUUUCUUCUCCUUGAACCGGUCUCGUGCAAAUUGUUGAUUGUUCCCUUGUGGCCUUGUACUCCUGCCAAAUCCUCCUACAUGUUCAUGGUAUUGCGGAAUGCUGGCAGUGUAACAUAUCUCCCACAUCCCUGCAGAGACCAUGUUUCCCUGUAUGACUGCAUACAGUAAUAGUGCCCUACUGCUCAGUAGCUACAGGUCAAAUACACUGGGAGUGCCUUAAGCAUCUGCUACUGCAACCACUAGCAAAAGCCUAAAGCUAAGUAAACACCUGUUUUACUGCAGAUAGCAUAUCGUCUUUGUUUUUUUUAAAUGCAUGUACUUUUGGACUUUUUUAAUGGUCUGUGAUCUUUGCAAUACAAUGAUAUUACCAAACCUAAAUCCACAUUUAGUAUUCUUGUAGAGUUCCUGUUCCAUUGUGGAGUAUUGCCUCUAUGAUUGCUGUCAUGUAUCCAGAAAUAACUAACUGUAAUCACGUGCCAAUGAGAACCAGUGGUGUACUUAUAAAUAAAUCUGACUUGGAGCCACA
rnacentral:lncRNA from 1 species